AGAGUUUGAUCCUGGCUCAGGACGGACGCUGGCGGAGUGCUUAAUACAUGCAAGUCGUACGAGAAAGGAAUCUUCGGAUUUUGAGUAAAGUGGCGAACGGGUGAGUAAUACGUAGGAAUCUACCUUUUGGACAGGGAUAACGUUUGGAAACGAACGCUAAGACCUGAUAUGCAGAGAUGUGAAAUGCGGCUGUUUUUUCAGCUGUAGCCAAGAGAGGAGCCUGCGCCCCAUUAGCUAGUUGGCGGGAUAAGAGCCCACCAAGGCUACGAUGGGUAGGGGUCCUGAGAGGGAGACCCCCCACACUGGAACUGAGAUACGGUCCAGACUCCUACGGGAGGCAGCAGUAGGGAAUAUUGCACAAUGGAGGAAACUCUGAUGCAGCAACUCCGCGUGAGUGACGAAGGCUUUCGGGUUGUAAAACUCUGUUGAGGAGGAAGAAGGCAGAUAUAAUUAAUAGUUGUAUGUGUCCGACGGUACUUUUCGAGGAAGCACCGGCUAAUUACGUGCCAGCAGCCGCGGUAAUACGUAAGGUGCGAGCGUUGUCCGGAAUCAUUGGGCGUAAAGGGUGCGCAGGCGGUAUGAUAGGUCAGUUGUGAAAGCCACAGGCUCAACUUGUGGAGUGCAAUUGAAACCAUCAUGCUAGAGAGCAGAAGAGGUAAGUGGAAUUCCGUGUGUAGCGGUGAAAUGCUUAGAUAUGUGGAAGAACACCAAUGGCGAAGGCAGCUUACUGGUCUGUUACUGACGCUGAGGCACGAAAGCGUGGGGAGCGAACGGGAUUAGAUACCCCGGUAGUCCACGCCGUAAACGUUGAAUACUAGGUGUUGGGAGGUAAUUACUCUCUCGGUGCCGUAGCUAACGCAUUAAGUAUUCCGCCUGGGGAGUACGGCCGCAAGGCUAAAACUCAAAGGAAUUGACGGGGGCCCGCACAAGCGGUGGAUUAUGUGGUUUAAUUCGAUGCAACGCGAAGAACCUUACCUGGUCUUGACAUAUGUGGACCGCUCUAGAGAUAGAGUUUUCCCUUCGGGGACUGCAAUACAGGUGCUGCAUGGUUGUCGUCAGCUCGUGUCGUGAGAUGUUGGGUUAAGUCCCGCAACGAGCGCAACCCUUGUCGUUAGUUACCAGCGAGUAAUGUCGGGAACUCUAACGAGACUGCCGGUGACAAACCGGAGGAAGGUGGGGAUGACGUCAAAUCCUCAUGGCCCUUAUGACCAGGGCUACACACGUAAUACAAUGGCGCGUACAAAGAGUAGCGAAACCGCGAGGUCAAGCCAAUCUCAAAAAACGCGUCCCAGUUCGGAUAGUAGUCUGCAACUCGACUACUUGAAGGUGGAAUCGCUAGUAAUCGC
rnacentral:rRNA from 1 species